rnacentral:tRNA from 1 species
GGAUGGGUGGCCGAGUGGUUGAAGGCACCGGUCUUGAAAACCGGCAACGGGAAACCGUUCGUGGGUUCGAAUCCCACCCCAUCCG